rnacentral:rRNA from 1 species
UAGGGAAUCUUCCGCAAUGGACGAAAGUCUGACGGAGCAACGCCGCGUGAGUGAAGAAGGAUUUCGGUUCGUAAAACUCUGUUGUUAGGGAAGAAAAAAUGUAUAGUAACUAUAUACAAAAGAGACGGUACCUAACCAGAAAGCCACGGCUAACUACGUGCCAGCAGCCGCGGUAAUACGUAGGUGGCAAGCGUUGUCCGGAAUUAUUGGGCGUAAAGCGCGCGCAGGUGGUUUAGAAAGUCUGAUGUGAAAGCCCACGGCUCAACCGUGGAGGGUCAAUGGAAACUAAUAAACUUGAGUGCAGGAGAGAAAAGUGGAAGUCCUAGUGUAGCGGUGAAAUGCGUAGAGAUUAGGAGGAACACCGGUGGCGAAAGCGGCUUUUUGGCCUGAAACUGACACUGAGGCGCGAAAGCGUGGGGAGCAAACAGG